CCAGCACCACCGCCAAACCUGAAGGAGUUGGUGGCGCACAGAUUUGCCAAAGCAAUGGCUACUGAAGAAGACUCCGUUGAACAAGCAGCUGUUGCACGUCGAGAGAGACUGAGGGCUCUCAAAGCUGCCAAGGAACUCUUGGAUACUCCAGAUGAUGACACUGAAACUGCCAAAGAUGAUAAUCCAGGCAUGAAAUUUCGAAAUUAUGUUCCUCAAGAUAAGGAGCUUCAAGAGGGUAAGCUUGCUCCACCAGUGCUACCAAAGUUUGAAGACCCUGUCGCAGCUGCACCCCCACCAUCAGAGAAGACGCAGGAUCCAUUUCUCAACAUUGCCCCAAAGAAGCCAAAUUGGGACCUGCGUAGGGAUGUGCAAAAGAAGCUUGAUAAACUUGAAAGACGCACACAAAAGGCAAUUUAUAAACUUAUGGAGGAACAAGAAAAAGAAAAGCUGCUUGGUGAAGAGGGCAUAACAGCCGAGGAAAAUUAGUGGUAA
rnacentral:misc_RNA from 1 species